rnacentral:rRNA from 1 species
UUUAAAUGUAAAAUAAAUAUACUAAAGUAGUAUUAGUUAUGUUCUUGAAAUUUAAAGAUUUUGGCGGUAUUUUAGUCUAUUUAGAGGAGCCUGUUCUAUGAUUGAUAAUCCACGAUUAAUUUUACUUAAUUUAAAUAAGUUUGUAUACCGUCGUUAUAAGAAGAUUUUAAAAGAAUAUAAAUUUUUAAUAUUUUAAAUAAAAAAAUAUAUCAGAUCAAGGUGCAGUUUAUAAUUAAGAAGAAAUGGGCUACAAUAAAUUUAUUUAAUUAGACGGAUUAAAGUGAGAAUUUUAACUUUAUGAAGGUGGAUUUAAUAGUAAUAGAAUUAAUCUAAAUUUUAUGAUUUUAGCUCUAAAAUAUG